rnacentral:misc_RNA from 1 species
AAGUCGUAACAAGGUAUCCGUAGGUGAACCUGCGGAUGGAUCAUUAAGAGGUUAGCAAACACAACCCUGUUUGGCAGACCACUGUGGUGCGAUGAGUGUUGUUUUGGCGGCGACGUUGCGUGCGCGAGCAUGCAUGCGCCGCCAGCAUACAAACCGAUAAUACCUUUCAUUAGUUGGCUGUUUGAUUGCACUAUCCGCGCGAUAGCAUAAUCUGAUACAACUGCUAGCAACGGAUCACUCGGCUCUC